rnacentral:lncRNA from 1 species
AUUUUAAUGGCAGCUGCCAGAGCUUUAUGGAGUCAUUCAUUUUAAUAGUCUGAAGGCUUUCCCAUUAUCCAGAUGCUUUCACUUCACAGCUCAGGGAGCAUGGACAACCUGUAUUUUUACUGGAAUCUGGGCUGGAAGAGAAUAGUUGUACCUCAGAAGAGGAGGCGCACCCUGAGGAAGCAGACGACCCGUGUGUGUGAAAGCCUUCCUUGUUUUUGAAAGGUACUUUAUGACCCAGGCUGCCUUCUGGAUCAGAAAGAUACUGGAAGCUGUAAAACACACAAAGCCAGGCUUUGUUAUCACCUGCAUGUACGGAAGGACACCGGUCCUGAGUGUGAGCCUCCUCGGGCCCCGGUCACGUCUCCUCCGUCUUUCCCCACCGCGGUCGCCUGGGUCCAUCCCUGGACAGAGGAUGAAGGAAGCCAGCGUGCAAGCAGGCUGCCUGGAGCCAGCUGCCCAAGCUUGGAGAAAGAAUCAGCUGAAAUGAACUGUUCCUUGAAAACGAGAGCAUUCUGGAGAAGGGAGCGAUGAGGAGGAGCUCCUACCCCCUGGGCACUGAAACCCAUCUCACCCAUGCCUGGUUCCUGUAAUGGACGAACUUGAUGCUAAUGG